UCACAGGUCUACUGGGUGCUAUACUGUGUACAGUAGAUCAGACUCUUCUAGGAGUCACAGGAGGCUGUGGUACUCGGCCUCCUUCCCAUUUGUUCCUCUGCCAGCUUCACUUCCACACCCCACAGCUACUGAUGGGCUCUGUUGAGGGGAUAGAGAGGAUAGGAAGAGAAAGGUAGGAGGAAGGGGGAGGGAGAGGAGGAGGAGGGGGAGGAGGACUCCUUUCUCUAUUGGAUUUAACCAGAGCAGGUGGGACCAAGUGACUCUGGUCCUUUGACUCUAGAGGACUGAUUCGAGUCUGUGCUAGAAGAGGUGUGGCUAACCUUAGGGGGCAUGGUGAGCUAGGAUACUUGGAUGUUCCUUCUCCGCUUUCUCUCAGAAAUGAGAAUACAACAAUAGGAUCUCUACCCAUGAAGUAACAUCCUACAGGUAGGAAGUAAGCCCAGUGGGCAGCUUCCCCAAAGCCAGUGACGUGUUCCAGGAGCACACACUGGGCUCUGUAGUGUAUUAUGCUGCUAAAUGGGUCUAAAGAAUGAUCUUGGCUGUCAUGUAGUUAUUGUUAAAGUGACAGUACUUGGAUUCCAGGAAGGCUCAUUGAUGUUCAGGUGACAAGCCACACAUUUCCCCUUUGACUUAUUACCCCACCACCUUUAAAUAAUGUACAAUAAAAUUGGACAAGUUAUGCUUUGUCAAUAA
rnacentral:lncRNA from 1 species